AGUUAAUAAGCUUAUGAUAAGCUUAUGUUUUGAAAACAUAAAAUAGAAGUUUAAAUCUUCUAUUAACUU
rnacentral:tRNA from 1 species